UAUGACCAUAUCACAUUGAAACACAGGUUCCCCUAUGAUCAUUGAAGUUAAGCAACAUCAAGCCUGGUCAGUACAUAGAUGGGUCACCACUUGGGAAAACCAGGUGUUGUAA